AUGUAGGCUGUCAGAAAAGAUGAAAAAGCUAUUCUCUUUGUACUUUUUGUUGCUAUGCAACAGUAAUCUGAAAAUCAUGCAUGAUCUAAACAUCGUGCACAGUCCAGGAGGCUCCAUGUGGCAUAGAGGCCAUUCCUCUUGCUCUCCGAGGGCAAGAAAAGGGCCAGCACAUGCUUCCGUCUUCCUCGCUCCUCCAGACAAUUCCUCCACCAUACCCUACCAACCAAUCUCUCCUGCACUGAAGUCCAGGCUGCCAAUUAAAUCUCCAUUUCCUUGUUUAGAAUGAAGCUUUUCCUGACCUGCAAGUUCCUUUCCCAGCUCUGCAAUGCCUUCAGCCACCUCCUUUCCCAUUCCACCUCCCGCUGUCAUCCUCAGUGAUUCUGCACCGGCCUCCCGGCCCUAAAGCCUCACAGUCCACCACUCUUAGAACCUUCCUUUUCACUUUGACUCCUUCCUAGCAUGGCACACUAUAGAUCAUUUGAUCAUUAGAAAGUUAACUUCUGAGGCCUCACACAUGGAAAUAUAUUGAAUAAUUUCUAGUAUAAAACAAUGUCCCGGGCUUAUCAUUUUCUUUCCCUGUUUCAGUUCUUGAAUCAGCCAAUUUUGCAAGGACUCUGGUUCCUUUAAGGAAGGACAGGAUUUAGAAAUCAGUAUCUGGGCACUUGGUGUGUUCAUUAUUACUGCAGUGCCUUCUAGUCUCUCCAGUGAGCUGAGAAAUAUGUGUGUAUCUAUAGACAUGUGGAGAUCAAUGUAUAUAUAUAGAGAUCUCUAUUUGUGUAUGUUCAUAGGUUAAAGAAAACCAUGACGCCAGACCAAUAUUUCCAAUUCUAAUCCAACACCUCAAAGCUCUUUCUAGCCUCACCUUUUCAAUAUUUGUAAAUUCCUUUUCCAACUGUGAGGAAACGUGGCUCUCAUUAUACUCACAGUUUUGUUUGUUUUUGAGAUAGAGUCUUGCUCUGCCGCCCAGGCUGGAUUACAGUGACCUGAUCUUGGCUCAGUGCAAUCUCUGCCUCCCAGGUUCGAGAGAUUCUCCUGCCUCAGCCUCCCAAGUACCUGGGACUACAGGCAUGUGCCACCAUGCCCAGCAAAUUUUUGUAUUUUUUAGUAGAGAUGGGGUUUCACCAUGUUGGCCAGGCUGGUCUUGAACUCUUGACCUCAGGUGAUCCACCCACCUCGGCCUCCCAAAGUGCUGGGAUUACAGGUGUGAGCCACUGCACCUGGCUAUACUCACGGUAUUAUUUGCUUAAUCAACCUGUGAUGUAUGCCAGCCAUCCCCUUGGCCCUGAUCCUACCUCUGCCACCUCAGCCCCCACCCACCUAGCUGCCUCCAAAGGAAGGGAAGAGGAGGAUCCUGGCAAUCUUUACGCACGCUUAUGUUUGAGAAGCACUUUGAAUAGCACAGCUCUACAGUCCCUAUCUCCACUGCCUCCCUUUAUUUUUUUUUCCUGUUAGAAUGUUUUCCGUGAGCAUACUUUACUUUCAUAAUCAUUUUUUAAAAAUCAAAAAGUAUUCAAAUUCUAUAGCUAUCAUUUUAUGAAAUAUAGGUUUUCACAUAUUGAGUUUUCUUAACCUUAAAAGAUAGAUUUUUACCUAUAUUCUAGUAACCUUUGAAACUAUGAGGUCUUAUAUUUGGAACAGAUACCUGACAAUGAAAUUGCAUAGUGCUAUAAUGACCAAAUACGUACUCUAAGAAGUCAUUCUGCUUUGAGUGAGAUCAAGUCUGCAGGUAAAACUGUAGUGAAGGCAUUUGGUGGGUAGAAGUUGAGCAUCACUAUCACUUCAUUCUGGUAAGCAAGGGUAGCUAAUGCGUAUCUUGCUUCUUUGUGGCUAAUUCAGAAUAGGAGAAAAAGGAUUCUAGGCAGAAAGAGAAUAAGAAUACGUAAAAAGCACUAUUUUAUAAACAUACCAAAUUUUUCCGAAAUUUCCUCAUCAGGAAAUUGCUGGCCUUCAAGAUUUAAUAUCUUCAGAGAAAUAAAAUUUGGCAAAAUGGCAACUAUGAAAGGGAAAAUAAAAAUUUAGUUAUGUCAGCUACAUCUCUUACAGCAAAGUGUAACAUCUUUAAAAUGAAGAAAUUAGAAAUUAAUGUAAUAAUUCAGAUUGAAUUCAUAUGACUAAACAAAUUUUUGCUCAGAAAAUAAUUCUGAUAACUAGAAAUGUCGUUAAAAUUCUAGAAAUUUCAAAUCCAACUGAGCUUGAAGGUAAAAAAGAAAAUUCUAGAAGCACAUAUACUUUAUUAUUUGAGAAACAAUUUUUCUUUUCUUUCUUUUUUUAAAGAGACAAGAUCUGUGUCACCCAGGCUGGAGUGCAGUGGUACCAUCACCACUCGCUGCAGCUUAAACCUUCUGGGCUCAAGUAAUCUUCCUGCCUUAGCUUCCCUAGUAGCUGGUACUACAGGUACCACUGUGCCCAACUGAUUUUUUUUAAAGCUUUUUAGAGAUGGAGGGCUUGUUAUGUUGCCCAGACUGGUCUCAAACCCCUGAUCUCAAGCGAGCCUCCUGCCUCAGCUUCCCAAAGUGCUGGGAUUACAGGCAUGAGCCACCACGCCCAGCCUCAAAAUAUGGCCCUUUUUAAAGAGUGCUUAAUAUGACUCUGUGUCCAUAGAAACAUUUUAAACCACAAUUGUAAUAUUAUAACUCUUACCAAAUGGGACGGGUUGAAAAAAUGAAUCCGAAAACUUAAUUUCUGAGAGUUUCUUACAGGAAGCAAGUAUAGUCAUGAGAGACUCAAAAUCCGAAAAGAAGUUACACUUCAGAUGGAAAACAUGAAGUCUUUCCCAGGGAACUCCGAUGAAGUGUUCCACCAAAAUGAGCGAGUGAACCAAGAAGAGGAUGACAUUAGAUCCAGGAGAUACAACAGAGGAGAUAAUCUCCAGGAUGCCUGUGAAGAAAGAUCCCUGGAUCCCAGGAUGAUUAUAGGACAAGUUGUUCAUAAUCCAGCAGGCCAGAAGACUUCCAAGGAAACUCAUUCAAGAAGGUGAAAAUGAUGGAUGACUCCUUCAAGGUGAAAAUGGGCCAGCCGCAGUGGCUCACGCCUGUAAUACCAGCACUUUGGGAGGCUGAGGCAGGCGGAUCACCUGAGGUCAGGAGUUUGAGACUAGCCUGGCCAACGUGGCAAAACCCCAUCUCUAUUAAAAAUACAAAAAUUAGCCAGGCAUGGUGGUGCAUGCCGGUAGUCCCAGCUACUCAGGAUGCUGAGGCAGGGAGAAUUGCUUGAACCUGGGAGGCAGAGUCUGCAGUGAGCCAAGAUCAUGCCACUGCACUUCAGCCUGGGUGACAGAGCAAGACUCCGUCUCAAAAAAAAAAAAAAAAAGACAAAGAAAAAAAAAUGAUGAUGACUCUUUCAAGAAAUGAAAAUGAUGAGCUAUCUGGUAGGUCUGAAUGACUUAAGAGGAGAUUUAAACAUUUGGGAUAAUUUGAAGAUGAGCUGGUGUUCGUCUUCAUUUAUUUAAAUAAAUAAAUAAAAUUAUUAAUACGUGAA